rnacentral:hammerhead_ribozyme from 1 species
GCACUGCUGAGGAGUCGCAUAAUAGGACGAAACGGUUGUCCAGUGC